AAGGUAGGUAAAAAGUAUCAAAAAAAUUUCUGACCCAACAUAAUUUUGGCUAUUGGCUGUGGUUCUUAGAACCAGAGCGCAUUCCACAUUGCAACCCAGCCUGGAGAUGGGGGUGAUGCCCUUACUUAUAGAGGUCUUUCAGUCCCUGAGUUUCCACUCUGACGCUCACCCUGAAUGAGCCCAGCAGUCAAUCCACUGCCAGUCUCAUUGAGCCCCUGAGCAGCCACUGUGGGAGACUCACACUGGAAGUCCUCUCUGGGGUCACCCUGUUGUGGCCCCGCCCUCUGAGCCUAUCCCAUCAGAGGAAGAAAGCUCCGAGCAUGAGGAAGAGGAGUCAGCCAGGCCUCCCUCUCCAGGCCCCUCCCCUCUGGCACUGUCUCAGGAGCCGGCCGAGGGAGAGGAGAUUAGCCGGGAGACAGGUGUCUCGGAUGAGGGUGAAGGUGAGACGUCAUUCCUGGAUGCACGCCUCCGAAGGCGUGAUAAAUGAUUGCAGCAGCUCAGGAGGCGUGCUAGGGAUUAGGACUGAGUCACUGGACCACACCCCAGAGACAGCGAUCCCUGUGACGAACAAAAAUAAACCUUGGAUAGUCACUAAAGGAUCGUCCGAAACUGUCAGAGGAAUAUUAUUCUGUUGGACUUUUGUACGCUGAGUAUAUUAACUUUCUGUUCUGUGGAAAUAAAAGCACUUGGCAGACGGGGUGUAUAUCGCUGCCAAGUUGGAGAUAAAGACCUGGGUGUGUGCCAAGUGCUUCUUUAACCCUCGGCUGGCUGUGUUUGUGUGUGUGUGUGGACGGGGACAGAUCACACCCUUUCAGUCCCUGAGCAAGCAGUGAGGGCGAAUCACACUGGAAGAGACAACAGCGCUCAGCUAGAAGCCUCCUCCAGUGCCUGAGGACCCCCUCAGUGAGACUCGGACCAGAAGGGAAUCCUUUGGGAUCACCUCCCUCCCACCAUUACACCCUUAGAAAUAAUGCCAGUACCAGCCAGACUUCUUAGAAUCGAAAGUGAAUCUGGUGACGCAAUGUUCUAGUGGUUCUUUCAGUGUUGGUGCAAAUGGUCUUGGAGGUUCUUGGUCAGGUUUUAGUUGUUAGCUUCAUUGGCAGUUCCUUGAUUGGGGCAUUCUGUAUCUCUUGAUUGUUGGUCUGUUGUGAAUGAUAGUGAUACAACCUCAAUGGCCCUUUUUAAUGCUAGGUGUGGCUGUUGACGUAUAAAAGAACUCAUUAGUUUUCUAGCUUUGCAGACUGAGGGUAGGAACAAGUAUUCUGAAUGCUACCUGGUGGUGUGAUUGAUUUUAUAGAUUUCUGCCUGGCAUAAUUUAGCCCCGGCAAUGGUUCUUAGAACCAGAAAAAAACCCCCAAUGGCCAUUUUUAAUGCUAGGCGUGGCCAGUAAUUGAUAAUAGAUUUUAUACCUUUUUUGCCUGGCAUAAUUUAGCCCUAGCAAUGGUUCUUAGAAUCAGAAAGAAAACCCCAAUGGCCAUUUUUAAUGCUAGGCAUGGCCAGUAAUUGAUAAUAGAUUUUGCACCUUUUUUGCCUGGCAUACUUUAGUCCUGGCGAUGGUUCUUAGAACCAGAAAGAAAACCCCAAUGGCCAUUUUUAAUGCUAGGCAUCGCCCUUAAUUGAUAAUAGAUUUUGCACCUUUUUUGCCUGGCACACUUUAGUCCUGGCGAUGGUUCUUAGAACCAGAAAGAAAACCCCAAUGGCCAUUUUUAAUGCUAGGCAUGGCCAGUAAUUGAUAAUACAUUUUAUACCUUUUUGCCUGGCAUAAUUUAGCCCUCGCAAUGGUUCUUAGAACCAGAAAGAAAACCCCAAUGGCCAUUUUUAAUUGUAGGCGUGGCCAGUAAUUGAUAAUACAUUUUAUACCUUUUUUGCCUGGCAUACUUUAGUCCUGACGAUGGUUCUUAGAACCAGAAGGAAAACCCCAAUGGCCAUUUUUAAUGCUAGGCAUCGCCCUUAAUUGAUAAUACAUUUUAUACCUUUUUUGCCUGGCAUAAUUUAGCCCUGGCGAUGGUUCUUAGAACCAGAAAGAAAACCCCAAUGGCCAUUUUUAAUGCUAAGUAUGGCCGUUGAUUUAUAGAAGAUUUUAAAGUUUCUCAGAUUGAGCGGAGGAACAACUGCAGUCCUGCUGCCAAAUGUUCCUUGGAAGAGACAACGCUUGCUGGACACGACUCGAAAAGGAAGAAAAGCCAAAGAAGAAGAAACAAGAGAGCAAGAAAAUGUCUCCAGCCCAAGUGAUGUUGCCUUCUACGCUGUGUGGCAGGUCCUACACCACCUUAAAAGACAGAAGAUUCAAUUGUCAGCCUCCAAUGUUGAUGGUAAAAAUAGAAGAAAGCAUGGAAAGCAAGAAUGCAUAUGGUCUUCGUCAGGAAUGAUACUUCACCAAGUAACUCAAAACUGACCUGUGAUAAUAGAUUUCAAACCUUUCUGGCAUGGAGUAAAUUUAGCCCCGGUGAUGUUUCUUAGAACCAGAAAGAAAACCCCAAUGGCCAUUUUUAAUUGUAGGCGUGGCCAGUAAUUGAUAAUAGAUUUUAUACCUUUUUUGCCUGGCAUACUUUAGUCCUGACGAUGGUUCUUAGAACCAGAAAGAAAACCUCAGUGGCCAUUUUUAAUUGUAGGCGUGGCCAGUAAUUGAUAAUAGAUUUUAUACCUUUUUUGCCUGGCAUACUUUAGCCCUGGCGAUGGUUCUUAGAACCAGAAAGAAAACCUCAGUGGCCAUUUUUAAUGGUAAGUAUGGCCAUUGAUUUAUAGAAGAUUUUAAAGUUUCUCAGAUUGAGCGGAGGAACAACUGCAGUCCUGCUGCCAAAUGUUCCUUGGAAGAGACAACGCUUGCUGGACACGACUCGAGAAGGAAGAAAAGCCAAAGAAGAAGAAACAAGAGAGCAAGAAAAUUCUCCAGCCCAAGUGAUGUUGCCUUCUACGCUGUGAGGCAGGUCCUACACCACCUUAAAAGACAGAAGAUUCAAUUGUCAGCCUCCAAUGUUGAUGGUAAAAAUAGAAGAAAGCAUGGAAAGCAAGAAUGCAUAUGGUCUUCGUCAGGAAUGAUACUUCACCAAGUAACUCAAAACUGACCUGUGAUAAUAGAUUUCAAACCUUUCUGGCAUGGAGUAAAUUUAGCCCCGGUGAUGGUUCUUAGAACCAGAAAGGAAACCCCAAUGGCCAUUUUUAAUUGUAGGCAUGGCCAGUAAUUGAUAAUAGAUUUUAUACCUUUUUUGCCUGGCGUAAUUUAG